GAUCCUGGCUCAGAAUCAACGCUGGCGGCGUGCCUAACACAUGCAAAGUCGAACGCGAAAGUGGAGCAAUCCAUGAGUAGAGUGGCAAACGGGUGAGUAACACGUGGGUGACCUGCCUUCGAUGGGGGAUAACGUUUCGAAAGGAACGCUAAUACCGCAUAACAUGCUGUCUUUUAACAGAUGGACAUCAAAGCCGGGGACCGCAAGGCCUGGCGCUUGAAGAGGGGCCCGCGCCUGAUUAGCUAGUUGGUGGGGUAAUGGCUCACCAAGGCAACGAUCAGUAUCCGGCCUGAGAGGGCGGACGGACACACUGGGACUGAGACACGGCCCAGACUCCUACGGGAGGCAGCAGUGGGGAAUUGUUCGCAAUGGGCGCAAGCCUGACGACGCAACGCCGCGUGGAGGAUGAAGAUCUUCGGGUCGUAAACUCCUUUCGAUCGAGACGAAUGGCCCUUGGGCUAAUACCCUGAGGGAGUGACGGUACCGAGAGAAGAAGCCCCGGCUAACUCCGUG
rnacentral:rRNA from 1 species